UACGUAGGGUGCAAGCGUUAAUCGGAAUUACUGGGCGUAAAGCGUGCGCAGGCGGUUUUGUAAGUCUGUCGUGAAAUCCCCGGGCUCAACCUGGGAAUGGCGAUGGAGACUGCAAGGCUAGAGUUUGGCAGAGGGGGGUAGAAUUCCACGUGUAGCAGUGGAAAUGCGUAGAUAUGUGGAGGAACACCGAUGGCGAAGGCAGCCCCCUGGGUCAAAACUGACGCUCAUGCACGAAAGCGUGGGGAGCAAACAGG
rnacentral:rRNA from 1 species